GUGCUCUCUUCAGCAGCACACAUACUAAAACUGAAAUGACCUAGAGAUUAGCAUGGCCCCUGCUCAAAGAUGACAUAAAAAUUUGUGAAGCAUUCCAUAUUUUU